UGCUAGAGUGCCAGAUGUUAUGGGUUGGAUUUAGGUUCCUUUUAAGGUGUGUUUACUAUACCCUCUUGUAG
rnacentral:tRNA from 1 species